rnacentral:rRNA from 1 species
CCCUUAGAUGUCCUGGGCCGCACGCGCGCUACACUGACAUGUUCAACAAACCUCCUAGUUCGACAGGAUUUGGGAAAUCUUUGAACGCAUGUCGUGAUAGGGAUAGAUCAUUGCAAUUAUUGAUCUUGAACGAGGAAUUCCUAGUAAACGCGAGUCAUCAGCUCGCAUUGAUUACGUCCCUGCCCUUUGUACACACCGCCCGUCGCACCUACCGAUUGAAUGUUUCGGUGAAGAUUCCGGAUAGGACUUUUUUGAUUUAUUUCAAUUCUGUCUUAAAAGCUAUCUAAACCUCAACAUUUAGAGGAAGGUGAAGUCGUAACA